AGCGGACGCAGUAGGAAUGUCCACUGUCCCGGAGACGGUGGUAGCGUCCUACUGUGGGAUGGUUGUGUUGGGGAUUAGUCUCAUUACCAACAUCUGUAUUGUGGACAUAGAGUCUACGGAAACACCAAAUCAUGCCGAGGUAUUGGAGACAGCAAACAUGCGCGCUAAAGAUCUGCUGAACAUAGUGAGACUGACUGUAAGAUGGGGACAACAUCUCUGGAACAUUGAGGACAAGUAAACUCAUCGUAUCUACUCCACGAUAUAUUCUGGGACAAUCCUAACAGCAUUCACUGCAUUAUUCAUGAGUUAUUACUUUAUACUGAGAAUUUUC